UGGGGGAUAUUGCACAAUGGGCGAAAGCCUGAUGCAGCGACGCCGCGUGGGGGAUGAAGGCUUUCGGGUUGUAAACCUCUUUCGCUAUCGAACAAGGCCCGCUUAGGGUGGGUUGAGGGUAGGUGGAGAAGAAGCGCCGGCUAACUACGUGCCAGCAGCCGCGGUAUACGUAGGGCGCGAGCGUUGUCCGGAAUUAUUGGGCGUAAAGGGCUUGUAGGCGGCUUGUUGCGCCUGCUGUGAAAACGCGGGGCUUAACUUCGCGCGUGCAGUGGGUACGGGCAGGCUUGAGUGUGGUAGGGGUGACUGGAAUUCCAGGUGUAGCGGUGGAAUGCGCAGAUAUCUGGAGGAACACCGAUGGCGAAGGCAGGUCACUGGGCCAUUACUGACGCUGAGGAGCGAAAGCAUGGGUAGCGAACAGG
rnacentral:rRNA from 1 species